UACGAAGGGGGCGAGCGUUGUUCGGAUUUACUGGGCGUAAAGGGCGCGCAGGCGGCUUAUUUUGUCAGGCGUGAAAGCCCCGGGCUUAACCUGGGAACUGCGUUUGAUACGGAUGGGCUAGAGUUCGGGAGAGGAGCGUGGAAUUCCCAGUGUAGAGGUGAAAUUCGUAGAUAUCAGGAGGAACACCGAUGGCGAAGGCAGGUCUCUGGGCAUUAACUGACGCUGAGGAGCGAAAGCAUGGGGAGCGAACAGG
rnacentral:rRNA from 1 species